ACGCUCGACACCUACGGGAGGCAGCAGUGAGGAAUAUUGGUCAAGUGGGCGCUAGCCUGAACCAGCCAAGUAGCGUGAAGGAUGAAGGCUCUAUGGGUCGUAAACUUCUUUUAUAUAAGAAUAAAGUGCAGUAUGUAUACUGUUUUGUAUGUAUUAUAUGAAUAAGGAUCGGCUAACUCCGUGUCAGCAGCCGCGGUAAUCUGAGCGGGCUGGCAAGGC
rnacentral:rRNA from 1 species